GACGAACGCUGGCGGCGUGCUUAACACAUGCAAGUCGAACGAUGAAGCCGGAGCUUGCUCUGGUGAAUUAGUGGCGAACGGGUGAGUAACACGUGAGUAACCUGCCCUUGACUCUGGGAUAACUGCGGGAAACUGUAGCUAAUACCGGAUACGACCCUCGGAGGCAUCUCCUGGGGGUGGAAAGAAUUUCGGUCAAGGAUGGACUCGCGGCCUAUCAGCUAGUUGGUGAGGUAAAGGCUCACCAAGGCGACGACGGGUAGCCGGCCUGAGAGGGUGACCGGGCACACUGGGAGUGGGACAUGGCCCAGACUCCUACGGGAGGCAGCAGUGGGGAAUAUUGCACAAUGGGCGCAAGCCUGAUUCAGCAACGCCGCGUGAGGGAUGACGGCCUUGGGGUUGUAAACCUCUUUUAGCAGGGAAGAAGCGAAAGUGACGGUACCUGCAGAAAAAGCACCGGCUAACUACGUGCCAGCAGCCGCCGUAA
rnacentral:rRNA from 1 species